CUGUGGCUGAUAUUCAUGGCUGAUAUCGGGUGAUAUUUAGAAACACUGAUUCUACGCUAUGGCUGGCACAGAUGCAUGGACCAUUUAAACCACGGAUGCUGUGCAAACAUGUCCUUUCAAAGUGUACUGUGGAGUUCACGAACGAUCAAACCAACAGCUCAAUGGAGGACAGUGCGUCAGCUCAAAGGAUCCCCUCUGGUCAACAGCAUUGUUAAGAAAAACAGCUGCUGUGAAGAACGCUUAGCAACUGCAAUAACUCAAGAGGACGUGGGAGGUGGGCAGCUGGAUGGGAUGGAAUGGAUGUGUCAAGAUUUGCUGGCAUGGACAACAAACUAAUCUUUUCACACACCAGAUACUUCCACAAGCACAUUUUUUUUCAAGAUUUCAUCAGAACAUCAGGCCUGUUUUGGGGAAAUAACUCACUAACUCACUAGUUGUCCUACUAUGGAGUAAAAAGAAUGAUUGUGAAAUUUCUCAGAUUUUCCAAUCUUUUUCUUCUUUCUGUUUUUUUUAAACCCAGCUAUAUGUUAGAGCCAGAUAGUCUGUUCCGUGUUUCCAGUGAAGCAAACAAAGCAGGUCCUUGCCUUUUGACAAAUAGCACUGCGUUGCAGCAGUCUCCCUGAGCCUAUUAUAAUCUGGAAAAGUAUAUGUACAUUUUUGGCAAUGGGUUCUGAGCGAAAACACAACCACAUUGUAGAUUCAUCAGCAAACUCUGAUAGAAGCUGAUUUCGUUCUGAACCGAGAGCAGUGAUGGAGGACUGAGGGUUUUGUCUUGAACAUGAAGUCCUCAGACCUAUCUGCAAGCUUAUCCACCACAGACAUUGGAAGCUUUCCUGAUUGUCCUCA